CGUUUCGGAUGGACAUUGCUCCCCUUUGUCGGCCUCGCCAGGGAGGAAAGACCGCCGCUCUAACCCGGUGCCUCUCCUCCUCAAGCCCUAGCCCGCCUCUCUUCUCUCUCGUCGGCUCCUUCUACUUCCGGCGCCGCCCGCGUGUAACUCUAACCCUAGCCCGAGCGCCCUAACCCUAGCACCGUGUUGCUAGGUUGCCUCGCGAUCUGGAGGCCCGGCUCUUCUCCCCGAAGCCUCCCACAGGCGAGGAAGGGGAAGAUGAAGGGGCUAUUCAAGUCGAAGCCGCGGACGCCGGCUGAUGUCGUGCGGAAGACGCGGGACCUCCUUAUCUACGUUGACAUCAAUUGGAACACCCGGGAGGCCAAGCGGGAGGACAAGGUGCCGAUCUCCUAUCUUGUUUCUCCCUCUUCUAACAUCUGAUCCUAUUUGGCUUCCUCUGAUUUUUGGGUUUGAAACAUGUUUAUAGGCUCUAUUUGAUGAUUUUUGCUGAAAUUCUUGAUUUUUCUGCUGACAUUGGGUUUAAUUUGUCCAUUUUCGCCAGAGUUGCAACUUGAGGCUGCUCUGAUGUGGGUUUUUUGUUCGUUAUAAUUUUACUGCAUUCCUUUGGUAAAUGAGAGAACUUAUGGUAUUAUGAUCACGAAGUUUUUAUCUGGGAUCAGGAUUCCUGUAUUAUAAUGUGCAUGAAUGAAGUAAGUGUUAAGUAAUAAUUUUUGCUUUUGUCUUGUAAUAAAGCUGCUUAUUUCCAUUUGUCCCUUUUCUUGUUUCAUUUCUGAUGAAGAAAAAUAAGAUAGCAAGCUUUCACUAACUGGUUGCUGGUUCUGUUAAUAAAAUAGCAAAAUUCAAAUAUGAUCGGGAUUUUUCUUGGGUAAGAUAAUAUGAUUUAGGCUUGCCAAAGAUAUGAGAAAUUUAAAAAAUCUGUUAUUUCUGCUGUCAACUAGUUUAGUUAUUACAUUGUUUGCAAUAAGAUUAGAAUGUAGUAUUUUGUGCUUGUGAACAGUGGAGCUCGUACUAAAGGAGGUUUUUGCUUGUGGAGGUUGUUGUGCAGUGAAGCAACGGAGCCUUUGUCUUAUGAUGCAUCGAUAGAGUUGACAUUGACCUUAACUGGAAUCCUUGGAAAGGCCAAGUGGAAGGAAAAGCCGGAGUUUAAUGGUUCUGAAAAUCUUGAAUUUCCAGAAUUCUAUAAGAAAAUGCAUACCAAGAAGAACAAAAAGUGGAUUGAUCCUAUUUGCACCGUGAAACAUGUAGUCAAAGAUGUUGAGCUUGCGAGAAGAAUCUUCCCAAUCCGGUGUGCAAUUAACAUCAGAGGAGAUGUCUAGGCAGGCACUUGGAAAAAGGAAGAGAUACAUUCUUGGAUUUGGGGAUGGGCCGAAGCCUUCUUCAUCUUCUUCCACAUCUAGUCGUGUGUCAUAAGACCAUGUUGGGGAGUUGCAGAAACUUAAAGCUAAGAUGGAGGAGAUGAAAGCGUGAGAUAGAGCGUGAGGAGCUGCGGAGGCAAUUGGAGCAGGAGAGGAGAGAGCGUGAGGAGGAAAAGAAAGAGCGAGAGGAAGAAUAGAAGCAAAUUGCACAUCUUACAAGUUUGGUGACAGAGUUCUUAAAGGGAAAGACUCAAACGCACAAGUCAUCUAUCCAUCAUGAUGGGGCCAUGUAUUCAACUGGUGGUACAAAUACUCGUUGAUACAUGGUGGAGUUAUGAGCAUGUGAAAUCUAGUUUCUGGUACAUGGAUAAUUUUUGUUCAGAUGAUCAUGGUGGAGUUGUCUACAAGCAGAAUCCAGUUUUUGGUAUAAGAAUAUUUUUGUGUACAUGAUGGUUGUUUGGAUGAAUAGCAACAUCAGAUAUUUUGGAAUUGUUAAUUUACAUUUUGAUGUGUUUGGUGAUGAUUAUCACCUUAACAUAUGGUAUGGAUGAAACAUUUUGAUGUAUGGUUAAUAGGUAUGCUUGACUUUAGACUUAUAGAUGAUGAUAUUUAUAAUGAAUGAUUAUGGAUUCU